AUUGAACGCUGGCGGCAUGCCUUACACAUGCAAGUCGAACGGUAACAGGUCUUCGGAUGCUGACGAGUGGCGAACGGGUGAGUAAUACAUCGGAACGUGCCUAGUAGUGGGGGAUAACUACUCGAAAGAGUGGCUAAUACCGCAUGAGAUCUACGGAUGAAAGCAGGGGAUCGCAAGACCUUGUGCUACUAGAGCGGCCGAUGGCAGAUUAGGUAGUUGGUGGGAUAAAAGCUUACCAAGCCGACGAUCUGUAGCUGGGCUGAGAGGACGAUCGGCCACACUGGGACUGAGAAACGGCCCAGACUCCUAAGGGAGGCAGCAGGGGGGAAUUUUGGACAAUGGCGCAAGCCUGAUCCAGCAAUGCCGCGUGCAGGAUGAAGGCCUUCGGGUUGUAAACUGCUUUUGUACGGAACGAAAAGCCCUGGGUUAAUACCCUGGGGUCAUGACGGUACCGUAAGAAUAAGCACCGGCUAACUACGUGCCAGCCGCCGCCGUAA
rnacentral:rRNA from 1 species